UGGGGAAUAUUGGACAAUGGGCGAAAGCCUGAUCCAGCCAUGCCGCGUGUGUGAAGAAGGUCUUCGGAUUGUAAAGCACUUUAAGUUGGGAGGAAGGGCAGUAAAUUAAUACUUUGCUGUUUUGACGUUACCGACAGAAUAAGCACCGGCUAACUCUGUGCCAGCAGCCGCGGUAAUACAGAGGGUGCAAGCGUUAAUCGGAAUUACUGGGCGUAAAGCGCGCGUAGGUGGUUCGUUAAGUUGGAUGUGAAAUCCCCGGGCUCAACCUGGGAACUGCAUUCAAAACUGACGAGCUAGAAUAUGGUAGAGGGUGGUGGAAUUUCCUGUGUAGCGGUGAAAUGCGUAGAUAUAGGAAGGAACACCAGUGGCGAAGGCGACCACCUGGACUGAUACUGACACUGAGGUGCGAAAAGCGUGGGGGAGCAAAACAG
rnacentral:rRNA from 1 species